rnacentral:rRNA from 1 species
UCGAGAAUCUUCGGCAAUGGGGGAAACCCUGACCGAGCGACGCCGCGUGUGGGAUGAAGGCCCUUGGGUUGUAAACCACUGUCAGAGGGGAUGAAGUGCGGGAGAGCAAUCUCUUCCGUUUGACAUAGCCUCAGAGGAAGCACGGGCUAAGUUCGUGCCAGCAGCCGCGGUAAUACGAACUGUGCAAACGUUAUUCGGAAUCACUGGGCUUACAGGGUGCGUAGGCGGCUUGUUAAGCAGGGUGUGAAAUCCCUCGGCUCAACCGAGGAAUUGCGCCCUGAACUGGCGAGCUUGAGUGGGAUAGAGGUGCGUGGAACUUCCAGUGGAGCGGUGAAAUGUGUUGAUAUUGGAAGGAACACCAGAGGCGAAAGCGGCGCACUGGAUCUCAACUGACGCUGAG